CGGGGUGUAGCGUAGCCUGGUAGCGCGCCUGCUUUGGGAGCAGGAUGUCGGGAGUUCAAAUCUCUCCACCCCGA
rnacentral:tRNA from 1 species